rnacentral:lncRNA from 1 species
UCUGAUCUUCUCCAUGCCCUAUAACCAAGAAACCUAGGGUUUCUUGGCCGCCACCCCAAAAAUGAAAGAAAGGAGGUGCUAGAAACCAGCGCCCCCCCUUUGUGCAUGCCCCUGUUUUGAGCGCCCCCUCUUGGCCGCUCAAGAAGAGUUCUAGGUCCUAUUUUUUUAUUUUUUGGAGGCUUCAUCAAGAGUGCUUCCAGAUCCU